AAUCUACCCUUAGGACUGGGAUAACCCCGGGAAACUGGGGAUAAUACCGGAUAGGCAAUCAAUGCUGGAAUGCGUGAUAGCCGAAAGCUGGGACGCCUAAGGAUGGGUCUGCGGCCUAUCAGGCUGUUGGUGGUGUAACGGACCACCAAACCUACGACGGGUACGGGCGAUGGGAGUCGGAGCCCGGAGAUGGGGACUGAGACAAGGCCCCAGGCCCUACGGGGCGCAGCAGGCGCGAAAACUCCGCAAUGCGGGCAAGCGUGACGGGGGGAUCCCAAGUGCCGUUGGUCUUUCGAUCGACGGCUUUUCGGAAGUCUAAGGAGCUUCCGGAAUAAGGGCUGGGUAAGACUGGUGCCAGCCGCCGCGGUAACACCAGCAGCCCAAGUGGUGGCCACGAUUAUUGGGCCUAAAGCGCUCGUAGCCGGGCCAGCAAGUCCCUUGUGAAAUCGGGCCGCCCAACGGUUCGGCGUGCAAGGGAUACUGUUGGUCUUGAGGCCGGGAGAGGUCGGAGGUACUCCUGGGGUAGCGGUGAAAUGCUCUAAUCCUGGGGGGACCA
rnacentral:rRNA from 1 species